rnacentral:rRNA from 1 species
AAAUUGAAGAGUUUGAUCAUGGCUCAGAUUGAACGCUGGCGGCAGGCCUAACACAUGCAAGUCGAACGGUAACAGGAAGCAGCUUGCUGCUUUGCUGACGAGUGGCGGACGGGUGAGUAAUGUCUGGGAAACUGCCUGAUGGAGGGGGAUAACUACUGGAAACGGUGGCUAAUACCGCAUAACGUCGCAAGACCAAAGAGGGGGACCUUCGGGCCUCUUGCCAUCAGAUGUGCCCAGAUGGGAUUAGCUUGUUGGUGAGGUAACGGCUCACCAAGGCGACGAUCCCUAGCUGGUCUGAGAGGAUGACCAGCCACACUGGAACUGAGACACGGUCCAGACUCCUACGGGAGGCAGCAGUGGGGAAUAUUGCACAAUGGGCGCAAGCCUGAUGCAGCCAUGCCGCGUGUAUGAAGAAGGCCUUCGGGUUGUAAAGUACUUUCAGCGGGGAGGAAGGUGUUGUGGUUAAUAACCGCAGCAAUUGACGUUACCCGCAGAAGAAGCACCGGCUAACUCCGUGCCAGCAGCCGCGGUAAUACGGAGGGUGCAAGCGUUAAUCGGAAUUACUGGGCGUAAAGCGCACGCAGGCGGUCUGUCAAGUCGGAUGUGAAAUCCCCGGGCUCAACCUGGGAACUGCAUUCGAAACUGGCAGGCUUGAGUCUUGUAGAGGGGGGUAGAAUUCCAGGUGUAGCGGUGAAAUGCGUAGAGAUCUGGAGGAAUACCGGUGGCGAAGGCGGCCCCUGGACAAAGACUGACGCUCAGGUGCGAAAGCGUGGGGAGCAAACAGGAUUAGAUACCCUGGUAGUCCACGCCGUAAACGAUGUCUACUUGGAGGUUGUGCCCUUGAGGCGUGGCUUCCGGAGCUAACGCGUUAAGUAGACCGCCUGGGGAGUACGGCCGCAAGGUUAAAACUCAAAUGAAUUGACGGGGGCCCGCACAAGCGGUGGAGCAUGUGGUUUAAUUCGAUGCAACGCGAAGAACCUUACCUGGUCUUGACAUCCACAGAACUUUCCAGAGAUGGAUUGGUGCCUUCGGGAACUGUGAGACAGGUGCUGCAUGGCUGUCGUCAGCUCGUGUUGUGAAAUGUUGGGUUAAGUCCCGCAACGAGCGCAACCCUUAUCCUUUGUUGCCAGCGGUCCGGCCGGGAACUCAAAGGAGACUGCCAGUGAUAAACUGGAGGAAGGUGGGGAUGACGUCAAGUCAUCAUGGCCCUUACGACCAGGGCUACACACGUGCUACAAUGGCGCAUACAAAGAGAAGCGACCUCGCGAGAGCAAGCGGACCUCAUAAAGUGCGUCGUAGUCCGGAUUGGAGUCUGCAACUCGACUCCAUGAAGUCGGAAUCGCUAGUAAUCGUGGAUCAGAAUGCCACGGUGAAUACGUUCCCGGGCCUUGUACACACCGCCCGUCACACCAUGGGAGUGGGUUGCAAAAGAAGUAGGUAGCUUAACCUUCGGGAGGGCGCUUACCACUUUGUGAUUCAUGACUGGGGUGAAGUCGUAACAAGGUAACCGUAGGGGAACCUGCGGUUGGAUCACCUCCUUACCUUAAAGAA